UACGGAGGAUCCGAGCGUUAUCCGGAUUUAUUGGGUUUAAAGGGAGCGUAGGUGGAUUGUUAAGUCAGCGGUAAAAGCCCGGGGCUCAACCCCGGCGAGCCGUUGAAACUGGCGGUCUUGAGUGGGCGAGAAGUAUGCGGAAUGCGUGGUGUAGCGGUGAAAUGCAUAGAUAUCACGCAGAACUCCGAUUGCGAAGGCAGCAUACCGGCGCCCAACUGACGCUGAAGCACGAAAGCGUGGGUAUCGAACAGG
rnacentral:rRNA from 1 species